GGUGAAGAAGGCCUUCGGGUUGUAAAGCCCUUUUGUUGGGAAAGAAAUCCAGCCGGCUAAUACCUGGUUGGGAUGACGGUACCCAAAGAAUAAGCACCGGCUAACUUCGUGCCAGCAGCCGCGGUAAUACGAAGGGUGCAAGCGUUACUCGGAAUUACUGGGCGUAAAGCGUGCGUAGGUGGUCGUUUAAGUCCGUUGUGAAAGCCCUGGGCUCAACCUGGGAACUGCAGUGGAUACUGGGCGACUAGAGUGUGGUAGAGGGUAGCGGAAUUCCUGGUGUAGCAG
rnacentral:rRNA from 1 species